rnacentral:rRNA from 1 species
UCUACGGGUGGCAGCAGUGGGGAAUAUUGCACAAUGGGGGAAACCCUGAUGCAGCGACGCCGCGUGCGUGAAGAAGGAAUUCGGUAUGUAAAGCUCUAUCAGCAGGGAAGAAAGUGACGGUGCCUGAGUAAGAAGCCACGGCUAACUACGGGACAGCAGCCGCGGUCAUACGUAGGGGGCAAGCGUUAUCCGGAUUUACUGGGUGUAAAGGGAGCGUAGACGGCGGUGCAAGUCUGGAGUGAAAGGCGGGGGCUCAACCCCCGGACUGCUCUGGAGACUGGACGGCUGGAGUGUAGGAGAGGGAAGUAGAAUUCCUGGUGUAGCGGUGAAAUGCGUAGAGAUCAGGAGGAAGACCAGUGGCGAAGGCGGCUUACUGGACGGAAACUGACGUUGAGGUUCGAAAGCGUGGGGAGCAAACAGGAUUAGAUACCCGAGUAGUC